rnacentral:sRNA from 1 species
CUGACAGUACUGGAGCCUGAAAUCUGACCACAGACCAGGCAGCAGCCAUGUCCUUUAUUCUGCGCUGCCCUGCCAAUGUGCUUCAGCUUUGACCUGGAGGGAUCACCUCUAGGAACUAAGUGAGUAAUUCAGUCUCCAUGUCCAGUCAGAUCAUGGCUCUC